CACAAUCCCUGGGAGGGGGAGUGAGAAGAAGGAAUAAUAUGUAAUUUUUAUUUAUUUAUUUAUUUAGAUAUGCAAAGAACCAUCUGAUCCUCUCAAUAUCUCUAGAGGAAGAUAGUACCAUUGUGUCCAUUUUACUGAUGAGAAGAUUUGUUCAGGGUCACCCUAUUAGAAUCUGAUAUCCUUCCUCUUCUGGGAACAUUAGGAAUGGAUUUGUGCUGAUUAGUUUAUGAAUGAUGAAACUGACUGAGACCAGAUGCACCAAUAUCCUUGGAUCACAUUUAUGUGAACACACGAAGAUGUGGAUAUAUACACAUCCUUUCACUCGGUUCCUCAACUGAGAUAAUGGAUGUAAAACUCUGUAACCAAAAAGCAUUACAUAAAUGUAACUGAUCAUUCA